AGAGUUGAUCAUGGCUCAGAACGAACGCUGGCGGCGCGUUUAAGCAUGCAAGUCGAGCGGCAAGCAGUAGCAAUACUGCCUAGAGCGGCGGACGGGUGAGUAACACGUGGAUAAUCUGCCUUUGGUUGGGAUAUACCAUGGAAACAUGGAGUAAUACCGAAUAAGAUACAGCUUCACAUGAAGUUUUGUGAAAGUGGCUUCGGCCACGCCGAAAGAUGAGUCCGCGGCCCAUUAGCUAGACGGCAGGGUAAAGGCCUACCGUGGCAAUGAUGGGUAGCCGGCCUGAGAGGGUGAUCGGCCACAUUGGAACUGAGACACGGUCCAGACUCCUACGGGAGGCAGCAGUGGGGAAUAUUGCACAAUGGGGGAAACCCUGAUGCAGCGAACCGCCGCGUGAGUGAUGAAGUAUUUCGGUAUGUAAAGCUCUAUCAGCAGGGAAGAAAAUGACGGUACCUGACUAAGAAGCACCGGCUAAAUACGUGCCAGCAGCCGC
rnacentral:rRNA from 1 species